AGAUUUAAUGAUCUUAUUGUUGAAGCAUUUCACUCUUCUGACAAUCUGGUACUGUGGACCUUGGAGUUUUUGUGGAAAUUAUUCAGGAGUACAUCCUAAGAACAUCUGACUUUGCACCGGAAAGGCCAAAUGAAGGGAAUGUGAGGGUAUCUUCAGGAGAUGUUUGAGUCUCAUCAAUUUGUUACUAUAUGGCAACAAUAUUCCUGGAGGGUUGCCUAGUUAUCUAUGAGAGCUUCAACUGUUUUUUUUACACUCAUCAAUGAGUCAAUUCUGAGAAGGAGCAUCUGAACGGAAUUUCAAC
rnacentral:lncRNA from 1 species